UGGCGGCGUGCCUAAUACAUGCAAGUCGAGCGGAUCAAUGGGGAGCUUGCUCCCCUGAGAUCAGCGGCGGACGGGUGAGUAACACGUGGGCAACCUGCCUGUAAGACUGGGAUAACUCCGGGAAACCGGGGCUAAUACCGGAUAACAUUUUCCACUGCAUAGUGGAGAAUUAAAAGAUGGCUUCGGCUAUCACUUACAGAUGGGCCCGCGGCGCAUUAGCUAGUUGGUGAGGUAAGGGCUCACCAAGGCGACGAUGCGUAGCCGACCUGAGAGGGUGAUCGGCCACACUGGGACUGAGACACGGCCCAGACUCCUACGGGAGGCAGCAGUAGGGAAUCUUCGGCAAUGGGCGAAAGCCUGACCGAGCAACGCCGCGUGAGCGAUGAAGGCCUUCGGGUCGUAAAGCUCUGUUGUUAGGGAAGAACAAGUACCGUUCGAAUAGGGCGGUACCUUGACGGUACCUAACCAGAAAGCCACGGCUAACUACGU
rnacentral:rRNA from 1 species